rnacentral:rRNA from 1 species
UGAGUAACGCGUGAGUAACCUGCCUCUAAGAGGGGAAUAACAUUCUGAAAAGAAUGCUAAUACCGCAUAAUAUAUAUUUAUCGCAUGGUAGAUAUAUCAAAGAUUUAUCGCUUAGAGAUGGACUCGCGUCUGAUUAGAUAGUUGGUGAGGUAACGGCCCACCAAGUCAACGAUCAGUAGCCGGCCUGAGAGGGCGAACGGCCACAUUGGGACUGAGACACGGUCCAAACUCCUACGGGAGGCAGCAGUGGGGAAUAUUGCACAAUGGGGAAACCCUGAUGCAGCAACGCCGCGUGAAGGAAGAAGGCCUUUGGGUCGUAAACUUCUGUUCUGAGGGAAGAAGAAAGUGACGGUACCUCAGGAGAAAGCCCCGGCUAACUACGUG